AUUGAACGCUGGCGGCGGGCCUAACACAUGCAAGUCGAGCGGAAACAGGAAGCUUGUUCCUGUCUUGCGCGAGGGACGGGUGGGUGAGGGCUAGGUAUCUGACUGAUCUUGAGGGAUGGGGUCAAGUAAGGGAACCGGAUCCAACAUCCGUAAAGAGGUUGAACAGCAGGGAUCUAGAGACACGGGCCUAUUGGCUGCGCCUGGGUCGGAUUAGCUAGUUGGUGUAGUAACGGCUUACCAAGGCGACGAUCCGUAGCUGGUCUGAGAGGAUGAUCAGCCACACUGGAACUGAGACACGGUCCAGACUCCUACGGGAGGCAGCAGUGGGGAAUAUUGCACAAUGGGCGAAAGCCUGAUGCAGCCAUGCCGCGUGUGUGAAGAAGGUCUUCGGAUUGUAAAGCACUUUAAGUUGGGAGGAAGGGAAGUAAGUUAAUACCUUCCCGUCUUGACGUUACCUACAGAAUAAGCACCGGCUAACUACGUG
rnacentral:rRNA from 1 species